CCUUUAAUGUUUGAUGUUCUAACGUGGACCCGUUACCCGGGUUGCGGACAGUGUCUGGUGGGUAGUUUGACUGGGGCGGUCUCCUCCUAAAGAGUAACGGAGGAGCACGAAGGUUGGCUAAUCCUGGUCGGACAUCAGGAGGUUAGUGCAAUGGCAUAAGCCAGCUUGACUGCGAGCGUGACGGCGCGAGCAGGUGCGAAAGCAGGUCAUAGUGAUCCGGUGGUUCUGAAUGGAAGGGCCAUCGCUCAACGGAUAAAAGGUACUCCGGGGAUAACAGGCUGAUACCGCCCAAGAGUUCAUAUCGACGGCGGUGUUUGGCACCUCGAUGUCGGCUCAUCACAUCCUGGGGCUGAAGUAGGUCCCAAGGGUAUGGCUGUUCGCCAUUUAAAGUGGUACGCGAGCUGGGUUUAGAACGUCGUGAGACAGUUCGGUCCCUAUCUGCCGUGGGCGCUGGAGAACUGAGGGGGGCUGCUCCUAGUACGAGAGGACCGGAGUGGACGCAUCACUGGUGUUCGGGUUGUCAUGCCAAUGGCACUGCCCGGUAGCUAAAUGCGGAAGAGAUAAGUGCUGAAAGCAUCUAAGCACGAAACUUGCCCCGAG
rnacentral:rRNA from 1 species